rnacentral:rRNA from 1 species
CCUACGGGAGGCAGCAGUGAGGAAUAUUGGUCAAUGGCCGGAAGGCUGAACCAGCCAUGCCGCGUGAAGGUCAGUGCCCUAUGGGCGUUAAACUUCUUUUGUGCGGGAGCAAUAAUGGUCACGUGUGGCCAGACGAGAGUACCGUACGAAUAAGCAUCGGCUAACUCCGGGCCAGCAGCCGCGGUAAGACGGGGGAUGCAAGCGUUAUCCGGGUUUAUUGGGUUUAAAGGGUGCGUAGGCUGGGAGGUAAGUCAGCGGUGAAAUGCCCCCUCUCAACGGGGUGAAGUGCCAUUGAUACUGGCGUGCUGGAAUGCGGAUGCCGUGGGAGGAAUGUGUGGUGUAGCGGUGAAAUGCAUAGAUAUCACACAGAACACCGAUUGCGAAGGCAUCUCACGAAGCCGCGAUUGACGCUGAUGCACGAAAGCGUGGGUAUCAAACAGGAUUAGAUACCCGAGUAGUC